GACGAACGCUGGCGGCGUGCUUAACACAUGCAAGUCGAGCGGUAAGGCCCUUUUGGGGGUACACGAGCGGCGAACGGGUGAGUAACACGUGGGUGACCUGCCCUUAGCUCUGGGAUAAGCCUGGGAAACUGGGUCUAAUACCGGAUAUGACUCCAUGACGCAUGUUGUGGGGUGGAAAGCCUUGUGCGGCUAGGGAUGGGCCCGCGGCCUAUCAGCUUGUUGGUGGGGCGAUGGCCUACCAAGGCGACGACGGGUAGCCGGCCUGAGAGGGCGACCGGCCACACUGGGACUGAGACACGGCCCAGACUCCUACGGGAGGCAGCAGUGGGGAAUCUUGCGCAAUGGGCGAAAGCCUGACGCAGCGACGCCGCGUGAGGGAUGACGGCCU
rnacentral:rRNA from 1 species